CAAAAACUGCAACACUGCUGGGUUUUAUAUCAAUAAUGGUCCACCACCCAAAGGACAUACAGCCAACUUGACACAACUGUGGGAAGCAUUGGCGUCAACAUGGGCCAGCAUCUCUGGAACGCUUUCGAUACCUAGUUGAGUCCAUGACCCAAUGAAUUGAGGCUGUUCUGAGGGCAAAAGGGGGGGGUGUGCAACACAAUAUUAGGAAAGUAUUCUCAAUGUUUGCUAUAUUUAAAUGUAACUGAUCAACAUCAAACACUUUUGCCUCUCAGGUAUGCUGUAGAUUUGGCACAGUGGUUGAGUUUCAUUAUCCACAUGAAUGUUUGCAAUCUUUUCUCUGCCAGUGUCCCAAAUGUGAUACCAUUUUACAGCAGCAGAAUGGCAUUAAUUAACCAUAUCAUACUACCAUGAUCAGUAUUCCAGUGAUGCAAAGGCUGAAAAACACUAUGGCCCAUAAGAACCUUACUGACAAUUUGUGUUUGCUUGAUACCAUCACACAAAAACAAGCGAAUAAGCAUUCAGCAGUUGUAUGCAGAGGAACUGCCUAUGCUGCAGCAGCUGGUGACACGGACACAAUUUUUGACCAUUUAAAUUUAAGCAAACGGAAAAGACAAGUCAAUGUGUUGGGCAAGAGCACGAACAAAAAUAUAAAGGUAACCAAAUUGAUCAUCUAAGUUGCUUCUGUGGUGGUGGCUGUAAUUGUUAUAGCCCAGCAUUGGUUUACCCAAUAAAUUACCUGAAGCUUC